AUUGAACGCUGGCGGCAGGCCUAACACAUGCAAGUCGAGCGGAUGAAGGGAGCUUGCUCCUGGAUUCAGCGGCGGACGGGUGAGUAAUGCCUAGGAAUCUGCCUGGUAGUGGGGGAUAACGUCCGGAAACGGGCGCUAAUACCGCAUACGUCCUGAGGGAGAAAGUGGGGGAUCUUCGGACCUCAUGCUAUCAGAUGAGCCUAGGUCGGAUUAGCUAGUUGGUGGGGUAAAGGCCUACCAAGGCGACGAUCCGUAACUGGUCUGAGAGGAUGAUCAGUCACACUGGAACUGAGACACGGUCCAGACUCCUACGGGAGGCAGCAGUGGGGAAUAUUGGACAAAGGGCGAAAGCCUGAUCCAGCCAUGCCGCGUGUGUGAAGAAGGUCUUCGGAUUGUAAAGCACUUUAAGUUGGGAGGAAGGGCAGUAAGUUAAUACCUUGCUGUUUUGACGUUACCAACAGAAUAAGCACCGGCUAACUUCGUG
rnacentral:rRNA from 1 species